AAGAAACCAACAGGGAUUGCCCUAGUAACGGCGAGUGAAGCGGCAACAGCUCAAAUUUGAAAUCUGGCGCAAGCCCGAGUUGUAAUUUGUAGAGGAUGCUUCAGGGCAGCGGCCGGUCUAAGUUCCUUGGAACAGGACGUCAUAGAGGGUGAGAAUCCCGUAUGCGACCGGUUGGCACCCGUCACGUAGCUCCUUCGACGAGUCGAGUUGUUUGGGAAUGCAGCUCUAAAUGGGAGGUAAAUGCCUUCUAAAGCUAAAUACCGGCCAGAGACCGAUAGCGCACAAGUAGAGUGAGCGAAAGAUGAAAAGCACUUUGGAAAGAGAGUUAAAAAGCACGUGAAAUUGUUGAAAGGGAAGCGCAUGCAACCAGACUUGCCGGCGGUGUUCAACCGGUCUUCUGACCGGUCUACUCGCCGCCGGCAGGCCAACAUCAUUUGGGAGCGCCGGAUAAAGGUGGGAGGAAUGUGGCCCCUCGGGGUGUUAUAGCCUCCUACGCAAUACGGCGCCUCCCGAGUGAGGUCCGCGCUUCGGCUAGGAUGUUGGCGUAAUGGUUGUCUGCGGCCCGUCUUGAAACACGGACCAAGGAGUCUAACAUCUAUGCGAGUGUUCGGGUGUCAAACCCCUACGCGUAAUGAAAGUGAACGGAGGUGGGAACUUUUUGUGCACCAUCGACCGAUCCUGAUGUCUUCGGAUGGAUUUGAGUAAGAGCAUAGCUGUUGGGACCCGAAAGAUGGUGAACUAUGCCUGAAUAGGGUGAAGCCAGAGGAAACUCUGGUGGAGGCUCGCAGCGGUUCUGACGUGCAAAUCGAUCGUCAAAUUUGGGUAUAGGGGCGAAAGACUAAUCGA
rnacentral:rRNA from 1 species